UACGAAGGGGGCUAGCGUUGCUCGGAAUUACUGGGCGUAAAGGGAGCGUAGGCGGAUAGUUUAGUCAGAGGUGAAAGCCCAGGGCUCAACCCUGGAAUUGCCUUUGAUACUGGCUAUCUUGAGUAUGGGAGAGGUUAGCGGAACUCCGAGUGUAGAGGUGAAAUUCGUAGAUAUUCGGAAGAACACCAGUGGCGGAAGGCGGACUCACUGGCCCUAGUA
rnacentral:rRNA from 1 species